rnacentral:rRNA from 1 species
GUUGUAUGGUUAAGUGACUAAGCAAACACGGAGGAUGCCUUGGCAGUCAGAGGCGAUGAAAGACGUAGCAA